rfam:Serratia fonticola strain DSM 4576, complete genome.
AUGUAUACGAAUUUUGUACCACCUGCUCUACCAGAACGCUAAAAACCAAUACGCAGGUUAAUGAUUUCCCUGGUGUUGGCGCAAUAUUCGCGCACCCCGGCCUCGGC